AUUGAACGCUGGCGGCAGGCCUAACACAUGCAAGUCGAACGAGUGGCGGACGGGUGAGUAAUGUCUGGGAAACUGCCUGAUGGAGGGGGAUAACUACUGGAAACGGUAGCUAAUACCGCAUACCAUCGGAUGUGCCCAGAUGGGAUUAGCUAGUAGGGGGGGUAAAGGCUCACCUAGGCGACGAUCCCUAGCUGGGCUGAGAGGAUGACGAAUCACACGUGAAAUGGGACAAGGUCCAAACCCCGACGGGAGGCAGCAGCGGGGGAUAUUGGGAAAGGGGCGGUAGCCUAGAGGAGCCAAGGCGCGUGUAUGAGAAAGGCCUUCGGGGUGUAAAGGAUUUUCAGCGGGGAAGCGGUACCCGCAGAAGAAGCACCGGCUAACUCCGUGCCAGCAGCCGCGGUAAUAC
rnacentral:rRNA from 1 species